AGUUUCUUCAUCACAUACUACUAAAAUUGGAAUGGUAACAGAAGACUUUAACAUGACCCCUGUUCAGUGUUGACACACACAUUCAAGAAGUGCUCCAUAUUUUU
ensembl:snRNA U6 U6 spliceosomal RNA